rnacentral:rRNA from 1 species
GUUGGGUAGGGGAGCGUUCUGUAAGCCGUUGAAGGUGUGCUGUGAGGCAUGCUGGAGGUAUCAGAAGUGCGAAUGCUGACAUAAGUAACGAUAAAGCGGGUGAAAAGCCCGCUCGCCGGAAGACCAAGGGUUCCUGUCCAACGUUAAUCGGGGCAGGGUGAGUCGACCCCUAAGGCGAGGCCGAAAGGCGUAGUCGAUGGGAAACGGGUUAAUAUUCCCGUACUUGGUGUUACUGCGAAGGGGGGACGGAGAAGGCUAUGUUGGCCGGGCGACGGUUGUCCCGGUUUAAGCGUGUAGGCUGGUUUUCCAGGCAAAUCCGGAAAAUCAAGGCUGAGGCGUGACGACGAGGCACCACGGUGCUGAAGCAACAAAUGCCCUGCUUCCAGGAAAAGCCUCUAAGCAUCAGGUAACACGAAAUCGUACCCCAAACCGACACAGGUGGUCAGGUAGAGAAUACCAAGGCGCUUGAGAGAACUCGGGUGAAGGAACUAGGCAAAAUGGUGCCGUAACUUCGGGAGAAGGCACGCUGACACGUAGGUGAAGUGAUUUACUCAUGGAGCUGAAGUCAGUCGAAGAUACCAGCUGGCUGCAACUGUUUAUUAAAAACACAGCACUGUGCAAACACGAAAGUGGACGUAUACGGUGUGACGCCUGCCCGGUGCCGGAAGGUUAAUUGAUGGGGUUAUCCUCGCGGAGAAGCUCCUGAUCGAAGCCCCGGUAAACGGCGGCCGUAACUAUAACGGUCCUAAGGUAGCGAAAUUCCUUGUCGGGUAAGUUCCGACCUGCACGAAUGGCGUAAUGAUGGCCAGGCUGUCUCCACCCGAGACUCAGUGAAAUUGAACUCGCUGUGAAGAUGCAGUGUACCCGCGGCAAGACGGAAAGACCCCGUGAACCUUUACUAUAGCUUGACACUGAACAUUGAGCCUUGAUGUGUAGGAUAGGUGGGAGGCUUUGAAGCGUGGACGCCAGUCUGCGUGGAGCCAACCUUGAAAUACCACCCUUUAAUGUUUGAUGUUCUAACGUGGACCCGUUACCCGGGUUGCGGACAGUGUCUGGUGGGUAGUUUGACUGGGGCGGUCUCCUCCCAAAGAGUAACGGAGGAGCACGAAGGUUGGCUAAUCCUGGUCGGACAUCAGGAGGUUAGUGCAAUGGCAUAAGCCAGCUUGACUGCGAGCGUGACGGCGCGAGCAGGUGCGAAAGCAGGUCAUAGUGAUCCGGUGGUUCUGAAUGGAAGGGCCAUCGCUCAACGGAUAAAAGGUACUCCGGGGAUAACAGGCUGAUACCGCCCAAGAGUUCAUAUCGACGGCGGUGUUUGGCACCUCGAUGUCGGCUCAUCACAUCCUGGGGCUGAAGUAGGUCCCAAGGGUAUGGCUGUUCGCCAUUUAAAGUGGUACGCGAGCUGGGUUUAGAACGUCGUGAGACAGUUCGGUCCCUAUCUGCCGUGGGCGCUGGAGAACUGAGGGGGGCUGCUCCUAGUACGAGAGGACCGGAGUGGACGCAUCACUGGUGUUCGGGUUGUCAUGCCAAUGGCACUGCCCGGUAGCUAAAUGCGGAAGAGAUAAGUGCUGAAAGCAUCUAAGCACGAAACUUGCCCCGAGAUGAGUUCUCCCUGAGACUAUAAGUCUCCUGAAGGAACGUUGAAGACGACGACGUUGAUAGGCCGGGUGUGUAAGCGCAGCGAUGCGUUGAGCUAACCGGUACUAAUGAACCGUGAGGCUUAACCUUAC